rnacentral:snRNA from 1 species
GGGAGGGUGAUCUGGCUGCGCCCCUGUCACCUCGUCGGUGACUGAAGUUGACUUGGCUAUUCCAGCUGGUGUGGCAGGUGUCCUUGCCCUAGUCACUCCACAUGCAUCCCUCCUGAGGCUGCGUGCUGGGUUGAGAAGAUGGCUUCCCUCCCUGCUUGAGGGCACUGAGUAGCUGU